rnacentral:rRNA from 1 species
CUUAGUGGCGGACGGGUGAGUAACGCGUGGGUAACCUGCCUCAUACAGGGGGAUAACAGUUAGAAAUGACUGCUAAUACCGCAUAAGACCACAGCACCGCAUGGUGCAGGGGUAAAAACUCCGGUGGUAUGAGAUGGACCCGCGUCUGAUUAGGUAGUUGGUGGGGUAACGGCCUACCAAGCCGACGAUCAGUAGCCGACCUGAGAGGGUGACCGGCCACAUUGGGACUGAGACACGGCCCAA